rnacentral:rRNA from 1 species
AUUGAACGCUGGCGGCAUGCUUUACACAUGCGAGUCGAACGGCAGCGCGGGCUUCGGCCUGGCGGCGAGUGGCGAACGGGUGAGUAAUGCAUCGGAACGUGCCCAGUAGUGGGGGAUAGCCCGGCGAAAGCCGGAUUAAUACCGCAUACGACCUGAGGGUGAAAGCGGGGGACCGAAAGGCCUCGCGCUAUUGGAGCGGCCGAUGUCGGAUUAGCUAGUUGGUGGGGUAAAGGCUUACCAAGGCGACGAUCCGUAGCUGGUCUGAGAGGACGACCAGCCACACUGGGGCUGAGACACGGCCCAGACUCCUACGGGAGGCAGCAGUGGGGAAUUUUGGACAAUGGGGGCAACCCUGAUCCAGCCAUGCCGCGUGCGGGAAGAAGGCCUUCGGGUUGUAAACCGCUUUUGUUCGGGAAGAAAUCCUCUGGGCUAAUACCCCGGGGGGAUGACGGUACCGGAAGAAUAAGCACCGGCUAACUACGUG